rnacentral:rRNA from 1 species
UUGAACGCUGGCGGCAGGCCUAACACAUGCAAGUCGAACGGUAACAGGAAGAAGCUUGCUUCUUUGCUGACGAGUGGCGGACGGGUGAGUAAUGUCUGGGAAACUGCCUGAUGGAGGGGGAUAACUACUGGAAACGGUAGCUAAUACCGCAUAAUGUCGCAAGACCAAAGAGGGGGACCUUCGGGCCUCUUGCCAUCGGAUGUGCCCAGAUGGGAUUAGCUAGUAGGUGGGGUAACGGCUCACCUAGGCGACGAUCCCUAGCUGGCCUGAGAGGAUGACCAGCCACACUGGAACUGAGACACGGUCCAGACUCCUACGGGAGGCAGCAGUGGGGAAUAUUGCACAAUGGGCGCAAGCCUGAUGCAGCUAUGCCGCGUGUAUGAAGAAGGCCUUCGGGUUGUAAAGUACUUUCAGCGGGGAGGAAGGGAGUAAAGUUAAUACCUUUGCUCAUUGACGUUACCCGCAGAAGAAGCACCGGCUAACUCCGUG